AGCUGGUAGGAUAUAAAUGGGGGUCGGGGAGGAAAGAAAAAAAAAAGGAAAAAGCAGGGAAGGAAGAGAGCAGGAAGGAGGAAAGAAGAGAAGGAAGAAGGUUCCAGAAGAGAGAGAGAGGGGAGUCAGAGCGAAGAAAAGCGAGAAAGGAGAGAAAAGAGGGCCGCAGACAGCGAACGGUGCGAUCGACAAGAGGAAGGAAAAUGAAAUGGGAGGUACGGUAAAAACUUUGGUUGUGUAGGUGUUGUGUGAGUUGUGAUGUUAUUUGCUGGUUGCAGAGGCCAGAUAGUCCGUAGGUAGCUAGGCGGAGCGGAGAGGUGGAGUGUAGGACGGAAUGCCAGAGGCGUUCGUGGAGGAGGCCGUGGGAAGGAGAGGAUGGCGUUACUGGGGCAUACGGGAGGUCCGUGGGAGAAAGGGGAGGUCGUGUGAGGAGAGUGUGAGCACCAAGGGAAGUCACUGAGAGGAAGAGUGAGUAAGGAAUUUGGCGUGUGUGGGGGAUCCGAGAUGACGAAGGGAGUGGUAUGCAGGAGCGGGAGUGCAGAGGGAGUCGCGAGCAGAAGGAGCAGGAAGAAUGACUUCGAUGAGUGUCCAGUGAGAGGGGUGAGUGUGGUGAGGGUGACAGUGAGAGUCCGGAUUGUGCGAGGGAGGGGACUGUAGAAUAGGCGUACAGGUAGUCGAUGAGGAGUUUCGGGUGAGGAAAGAGGCGUAUGAAACAGUAGGGAGAGGUAGGUUUAGAGGGGGAUGAGAAUGUAGUUACUGGAGAUGGGGAUGGCACAUGAGGGGAUUGUAGAGUGUGGUUUAGGGUGAGAGAGUAU
rnacentral:lncRNA from 1 species